GAGGGUAUAGCUCAAGUGGUAGAGCGCAUGCUUAACAUGCAUGAGGUCCUGGGUUCAAUCCCUAGUAGCUCCU
rnacentral:tRNA from 1 species